CAGUAAUCCUUGUCUUUUCAUCACAAUGCAGAGGCUAGAAAUCAACACAUCUGAAGAAAUAUAAAUGAAAAUGAAAGAUACCAUCUCUUCUAGAAAGAGCCCAGAUGUUACAUCAUCCCGACAACCCUCAGAUUUGACCACUUUCCAGAAUUUAGCUGGAUUUCCACCACUCUCAGCUACACAAUUCAAGAAGAAUCGGAGGCGAAAGAUUUACGGCUCCUCCUGGACCAGGCCCAAAUCCCUGUCAUUCACAUGAAGAGGAGACGCCGAUACAGGGGGCGCAGAUUCUGGUGCUUGGCCCACCCCUCCUCCCCGUGUCAUCGAUGACCAUCCUGCAUACACGGUGAGACGCCUCCUGAGUGUUCAACUGUGGGGCAGGGGUUUCCAGGCCCUGGUUGACUGGGAGGGUUAUAGACCGGAGGAGAGGUGCUGCGUCCCCGCUAGAGACAUUCUGGACCCAGCCCUCAUCGCCGACUUCCACUGCUGGCACCCCGGUCAACCAGGUAUGCACCCAUGUAGGACGCCAGGUGGCGUCCCUAGAAAGGGGUGGGGGUACUGUCAUGCCCUGAUCUGUUUCACCUGUCCUUGUGCUUGUCUCCACCCCCCUCCAAGUGUCGCCCAUUUUCCCCAUUAUCCCCUGAGUACUUAUACCUGUGUUCUC